ACUCAGCAAUAAAAAGGAAUGGACUACAGAUAAAUGUGUCAUACAUGCAGAACCAUUAUGCUGAGUGAAAAAAAGCUAGACCCCAAAGUGUAAAUGCAAACUAAGGUGAAAAUGCAAAAAUAGUGACAAAAAAAAAAAACUUGGGCCUGAGAGAUGGAUUGCCAAGAGAGAAAAUAAAAUCUUUGAGGAGAAAAUAUUCUAUAUAUUGAUUGGAGUUAUAUUUUCACUGGUAUAUGCAUCCAUCAGAACUCGUCAGGUUAUACCUUUAAAAUGAAUGCACACUGAGGCAAAUUAUAGCUCAAUAAAUUGAUUUCCACAAAAAGCAUUGUUAAGGAAAUGCAAUAUAGGAUACAGGCACUGAAAGAAGCAAAGCAAGCAUGGCAACACAAAGAAAAGAGAGGAAUUAAGUAGUGAGAAGCCAGGAAGUAUAGGAAGUUGAGAUAAGAAAGUAGAGUUUUUCUUUCAGAAAAAAAAAAAAAAUUUUUUUUUAAGUUGAAUUAGGGCUCUUAGUUAAACCUCAUUGAAGUUUAAGCCAAUAGGGUGACUUAUUCCUCAUAGCAUACAAAAAAAAAAGGGGGGGGGAUUGGACAAUUGGAGCCUGAGACUCAAGGCUGUCCAUUUUGAUCCUUUGGCUAGAGCCAGCAAGCAGGCUUUUCUAGGGUAUGUGUGUGUAUGUGUGUGUGUGAGAGAGAGAUGUGUUGCAAUUAAUUUUUUUCCUACAUAGAUAGCCAGUUGUUUUAGCACCAUUCGAUGGAAACAUUUUCUCUCCUUAUUGAACUUCUUUGGUUGUCUAAGAUUUUCUAUAAAUAUGAUAGUGUCACUGCAAAGAUACUUUUACUCCUUUCUUUGCAGUUUUAUGCCUUUUGUUUCUUUUUCUUGUCUUAUUACACUGUUGGAGACCUCUACUAGGAGGGAUGAAAGUGGACAUAUUUGUCCUGAUCUUAAUCUUAGGGGAAGAGUUCCCAACGUGGCUCAGCGGUUAACGAAUCCGACUAGUAUCCAUGAGGAUGCUGGUUCGAUCCCUGGCCUUGCUUGGUGGGUUAAGGAUCUGGCACUGCCAUGAGCUGUGGUGUAGGUCACAGAUGCAGCUCGGAUCAUGCAUUGCUGUUCCUACAUCUAUAGAGAUGAUCACAUGAUUUUUCUUUUUUAUUCUGUAAAUUGUAGCAAUUUGUAUUCAAAUGUUAAACUAACAUUGGGUUCCUGGAAUAAACAUCAUUUGAUCAUGAUAAUUAUUAUUUUUCUCUGUUCCUGGGCUCAAUUUGCUAAAAUUUUGUUAAGGACUUUUAUAUCGAUGUUCUUUUUUUUUUUUCCUUUUCUUCUUUGGCCACCCCAUGGCAUAUGAAGUUCUUGGGCCAGGGAUCAGAUCCGAGUCUCAGUUGCAACCUAAGCCAUAGCUGUGGCACCACUAGAUCCUUAACCCACUUUUCUGGGCCGGGGAUCAAACCUAUGUCCCAACACUCCCAAGAUGCCUCCAAUCCCAUUGCACCACAAGGUGAACGCCCAUAUCUGUGUUCUUGAUAAUAUUGGUCAGCAGUUUGGGGGGGGGUGUUUUAAUGUCUUUUGGUUUUGAUAUGAGUAACUCUGGUCGCAUAAAACAAGUUUGUAAAUGUUUCCUCCAUUUCCCUUCUAUUUUCUAAAAAGCGUUGUGUAGGAUUAGUAUUAUUUCCUCUUUAAAUAUUUGAGAUAAUUCAUCGAUGAAAUUUUUGUAUGUAUAUGUAAAACCCCUUGUUUGUUUCCCUUCUUUCAGGAGUUAAAGCCCUCUCUGACUGUUGUCCAGCGUCUAUUUUAUGUACUUUACCUAGUUUUGUGGUUGUUUAUAGUGAGAGGGCUGUGUGGUGCCAGUUGCUCCAUCAUGGCUAGGGCAAAAGUAUCUGGUAAUAAGCUUGUUUAAGUUUAUGUUAUUAUUAGAGUAAUUCUAAAUUCAGUAGAUUCAGUAUUAUCUUGGUAUUGAACCCAUCUCAGUAGAUUGUCCUAAUUGCAUUUCUACCGGGUCUACCCCCAAAUUAAAUAUGAAUGUAAUUAGUAUAAUUCAAUGUACAAUUUCAUUGUAAUGACUAGUACAAUGAAAGGCAGCUUAGACUCGAUAAUUAACGUUGCUUUUACUCAUUUCAACAUUGAUAUGCUUUCUUGUAUGGAAUACAAAGUAGCAGCGUUAUAGGUAGGGUUACUGUGUGUAACUCUGAUAUGCUUCAGGACAGUGUUUGCAUUCCAUCUAUUAUGCUUACUGAUAGGAGAAAAGUUUGACAGCCAUUAUUUCUGAAACAUCUUAUAUGUUUCAGAAAGGUUAUUGAUUAAAUGUGCUAAACCAUUUUAAUAAAAAAAAAAAAAGCAUGUAUAAUUCUGGUAUGUUUGCCGAAAUGAGAUGUUUCCCUGUAGGAUGUAAAAGACCUUUGCUAUCACAACUCCUGGGUGGCUUUGCCCCUGCUGAUUUUCAUCAUGGGAUUGGACAAUGUAGAAAACAAAUCAUUUUCCAAAAUGAUACAUAAUAUCUAGGUCAAGUGGAUUUGUUAGGCUCAUAUCUCGCUCCAUAAGGAACCAUGCUGGAAACCCAGUACUUUGCUUAUAAGGCCGAGUCUGGGCCUAAAUCUACUUUCUUAGACAAUCAAAUUACUUCACCUUCCUUUGUGGAAUUAAGUGGGAGUAUUAAAUAAUAAAAUAAAAAUUAAAACCUACUGGGCAGAUGUGAUUUUUGCUUUCACUUAGAGUAGGUAAAAUAGUUUUAGCCUAUGCUCCCUUAAAGCACUCCACCCUUUGAAGAGCCCCAAGACCCAAAGUCUGCAUCCCACUUCUGGGCCCAAAGGGAGGAAUCAUCAGAGCUGGGGGUUACCAUGGCUAUCCCAGUGUGAACUUUAAGCUGGAAUAGAUUAUAAAACAAAACCAAACCCUGGCGUUACAGGUUGUUAUGGUGACACAUGCUAUGUAAAGGUAAUGUUACAUCCUAUGAAAAAUCUUCAAUAAUAUUGCAACAUGAAGAACAUGUACGAACACUCUAACUGGGGAAACUUUUUUAAAAAAAA
rnacentral:lncRNA from 1 species